UUCCCAUUUUCACAUUUCCUCUCCUCCUCUUUCUACUCCACUCUUUCAGUGAAGCUUUUCGCUUUGGUGAGUUUUUUCUGCAAUCUCUCUUUGCUUCUUGCACCUUUUUAUCAGUAAUUAGAAUAUGGGUCUCACUAUUUCAAUGUUUGUCUAUCUUUAUUCUAUUUAUUUUCUGGAUUGAACUCUCUGUUUUGAUAAUUUUUCUUUAUUUUGGUUCAGUUCCUUUGUUGGUAAUUUGGAUUGUUGGGUAUAUAAUAGUUUAUAUUCUUCUGAAUGAAUUUCUAGCAAGAAAUUGCUCAUGCAUGUCACUAAUUGUAACUAAUUUCAAUUGCCUUAUAUUUUCAUUAAGGAAUUUGGUAAUUUGACCUAGGGUUAGAACUUAAGGUUUUGAGCAUUCAAUCAAAGUUUUACCUCAGAGUUGGUCCAAAGAAUUGAACGCCAUAUUGAGAUUAAACGUGUUGGUAAAGAUCUAAUUCAUGAUGAAAAGUUUUGAUUAUUUCCCUGUGAAGUAACAAUGCGUUGUAUUUCGACCUUCCACGGGUGGAUUCUGGGAGCAUGUAGUUACCAUGGUCGACAUGGUAACAACAUUUUGUUGCAUUUCAUUGAAUUUUCAUUUGUUUCUCUCAUUCCUCCACUUCAUCUUUCUUGAUUGUCUCUAUCAAUUUCUUUUAAUUUUUUUCUCUUUCUUAUUUCUAUUAGUUUAGUUCUGCUGACCCAAAGGCCAAGAAAGCCGACUCCUUUGACACUAAGUCAUUGAAAUUCCAUAGCUAGAGAUGAAAAACUUCUGGUGAUGUUACUCCUGAUAUUUUGAGUUCGUCCGAUGACGACGGUGCUGCAGAGAUUCUCUGAGACAAAAGUGCAAGGUGAGCCUUUUAGAAUCAUUAACGAUUGUAGGUGUUAUUUGUUUUCUAGAGAUUCCCUGAAGUUGCAUGCAAGUCAAUUUUAGAUAUAUGGCAAUUUCUCUUUCAAUUGCAGCCUUCUGUCUUUAAACAAUGAAUUUAGUUGUUUGUGCAUUUUGCUCUAUUGCUUUUUCGGAAUUUAUGGUGAAGUAAAAUUUGCAAAGUAGCAUGGCCUUUUUAUCAGUUUCUGCCAAUAUUGGAAGAGAUUGAUGCGCGCUCCUCUAGCUGAUGAUCAGUUGUGACUGAAAUUUAUCAUUCAGAAGAACUAUAUUUUUUCUAUUUGUUACAUUAAGUUUUCUUAAAUUUGAUUGUGUAGCUAAUAUUAAAUCGUGGGGGAGCCUAAAUUUAUGCUUGAAGGUCAAACUGUAAAAAGAAUCAACUCUUUCUGUGAUUAAGCACAUUGAAAACGAAGUGCAGAAUUAUAUAACUUGUACCUUCGUUAAUUAUUUACUAAGAUAGUGGUGCUCAAAUGCCAGUCGUCUUUUUUAUUGCCAUGAUCGAUGCAACUGUUACUAAGUAUAAUAAAAGGUCUCACAUUGAGUCGUCGGAUAUGGUGAACCAACUUCUACGGUAACAUCUUUUCUUUAAAUAUCUAAUUUAUUUGAUUGGGUGAUUGGAUUAUAAUUGAAGGUAGAUUUAUUGGCUUCGUGGAGCCCAGACGUUCUGAAAUUGCAGCAGCACUGUCAAUGUCUAAUUUAGUCUUCCAGGGAAAAACGAGCAAAAAAUUUAUUAAAAGGUCAAUGCAUUAACCUUACUUCUUCAUACAAGUACAUGCACUACUUUUCUUUUGCUCUUGAUUCUUGAUGUAUUGGUAUAUUUCUAAUUUAUUUUUGGAGAUAUUGUCUUUGUCGUAUAAUAUUCACCGAUCCCAACUUUGUUUGGAACUAAGGCGUAGUUUUCAUUGUUGUCUCUUUAUUCUACAAUAAUGUGGUAGAAUGGAGCUGGUUUUGAUACUUAAACACUUAGUUUCCUUUGAGACUAUCUUCCAUUAACUAUGUCUUGCAGCUCUCUAUUGGUUCUUUUCUUUUAUCCAAGAUGGACUAUCUACGUUGAGCAUGCGCAUAUGGAGACCGUUUCCUGUACUUUGAUUUGAUUCUGUAGAAUAUCAACAAAUCUGUUUCUGCCAAGGGGUGAUUUUUCCAAGGAAAGAAAAUAAAAAAGAAAUGGACUUAAAUCUCAGGAUCUAAAUAAAGUGGGACAGUAUUUCGAAAAGUGAACGAGGAAAAAAUAGCAUAAAGGAUAAAAAAAAGAUUACCAGCAUAUAUAACUGCCUAAUGAUGUUUCAAGCUCUCAAUUUUUGGAAAAACUUCUCCAGAUUCGCGGAAGUCACAUAUAGUUGACCUUGGGGAGAGGGUAUCUGUGGUUCAAUUUUAGUUUACUAAUCAAUACGUCGUUAAACUUUCAUUGUAUAACCACACUUUCAUUGUAUAACCACAAAUUUACAGUGAAACUAAAGAAGAAGAUGGAAAAGAUUUGACGAUAGUGUUCAUAUAGUGAAAUUAUCAUACUGCCUACUUGCUCGAACUAACUUAUCAUGUGACACUCUUAACAUCGAGGGACCUUCCGAAAUUGCAUGCCUCAAGGAGUAGUAGCGUGAGUGGAACUAACAAUUGUCUUUUGAUAUAGCAGAGCUCACAAGACACCUCUACUCAUGAGAAGAUUUCUUCUUUAGAACUGUUGCUUUUCUGUGGAAUUAUCAGCUAUAUGAACUACUCUUGUGUUUUCAUAGACAAUAUCUCUGAACCUUACUCGGAAUAAGCUGUUGCAACAUUGGAGGCUGUAUGGUUCUUGGGUGGGCCAUGAACUAUUGAGCUUUUGAUCUGCUUGGAAGUCAAUAGAGCUAGAAAAUGGAGAAGAAGUAAAAUUGGUGUACAAGAAGAGCCUUCCUCAUCCAUGGAAGAGACGGAGGAUUUUGAAUUACUUUGAUAACUGAGAGGGCAUUGUUUCUCUCUUUGUUAGUGGGAAGGGAUAGAGCUCUGGUUGAAGGUGAGGCUUGCCUAAAUCUAUAACUUCCCAGCUUACUUUUCCAUGGUUUUAGUGGUAUUAAAUAAAAUGUGAUUUUGGUUUGUAUGAUGAUAAAAAAGGAGGAAUAAACAAGAAGCUUUAUUUAGUGUUUUACAUAAAAUAUUGGUCUGUGUAUUGCUUUGACCAUGUGCAUUUCUAAUUCUUACUGUCAAGUUAAAUUUUUUGUGAUAUUGGUUCUUUCAGAAUGAUGUUUGGCUUAAGACCGUAUAACUGUUUGGUUUGUUUCCUACAUAUAAUGUAAAAAAAGGUUUGGAUAAUUUUUAUUUGAAAUGCAUUGCAGGUACUCUAGCAAAGGAGAAAAAGUUCUACCUUAUCCUAAAAAGCUUUCAUCACAUUUAUUUGAGAUUUCAAACAGAUGACGGUUUCAGAUUGACAGAACACAGUGUUGCAUUAACUUUAGAAGAUAUAUUUGGUUUUUAAACUUUCAAAUUUUGUGUAAUUAUAACUUACUAAUGGUACAUGAAAUAAUUUUUUAUAUCAUGCAAUAAUAUGGUGUUCUCAAAAGGUUGUGUAUAAUUUUUUACUAGAAGAAUUCAGAAACGUAUGUUAACUGUGUUGGGCCCGUGUAUAUUAGAAACGGGAGUUGGGUGUACGAAAGGGAAAGACGAACACGGCCCAACAUGUUGUAUUUUCCUAUCUCCACAACAAGAGCAGAGGUUUGAGGAGCACAUUUGAAAGCCACGUGUCCUUAG
rnacentral:lncRNA from 1 species